rnacentral:lncRNA from 12 species
CAGCGGCCGGUUCCUGAGAGGGAGCUCUGAGACCCACAAGGUCACCCUCCUGGCACUGAGCUUUUCGGAGCCUGGGGGAAUCCAGAGUCCUUGCCACAUGUGUUUCCAACAAGAC